CAUUCACGGAGAGUUUGAUCCUGGCUCAGGACGAACGCUGGCGGCGUGCUUAACACAUGCAAGUCGAACGGUGAAGCCCUUCGGGGUGGAUCAGUGGCG
rnacentral:rRNA from 3 species